rnacentral:lncRNA from 1 species
UAUCCCUUCACUCUCUUCAAAUCCUCCUCUAAUUUGAGAAAAUUUUCACAUGUCUUUAGAUGAAGAAAAACCCAAUUUUGAAGAAUACCCAUUUUAAUGAUUCAUUAUCUGUUGAUUUUGCAGGUUUGGUUAAUACACAUGCAGAUUGGAUUUCCCUCCAAAGGGAUAAGAUUAUUUCAAGAGGUAAAAAGUAAUUUCGAAAUUCACUUUCAGAUUCUCCCGCCUUGAAAUUCAAUCGAUUUAUUCAUUUUAUAAUUGAAAUAGGGUUAGAUGGUGAAUCUAUUUAAGCAGUUAUUGAGUUUAUUGUCUCAGCCACACCAAACAAAUUCAAAACAUUCUUUCCUCGCCUGUUGUUUCAAUUUCGUUUUUUCAAUCACUAUUUAAUUUUUGAAAACAAAAAAAAAACUGAUUUUAGUUGAAAAUGGCUUUCAUGAUUGGUAAUGGUGAGCAUUUUUCUGAAAUUGAAAAAAUUGAUUCUGAGAGAACAAGUUGAAAUUUAAAGGCAAAAAUUUUAAGGGUUUCUAGAUCAAUUCUAUUUUGUUUUAUUUUAUUUCCUUCAAUUUGAUGUUGCUUCUUUAAGUAUUUAUUGCUCAAUUCUGAUUUAAUUUUAUUUUUGGAAUGUUUUAAUGUUUGUUCAGGUUUACAAAUUAGGGUAGUUUUAUUGCAGAAUUAAUCAGAGAGAAUACUAUGCAUAUAGCAAUACUAUGCCUCUUGAUUGUAAGUACUGUUUAUGUUCUUACUUUCAGUUUUUCUGUUCUUCAAUUGGUUGUGGUUAUUAGAGGGAAAAGUUAGUUACACUAUAGAUAAUUGUUUUGAUUGGCUAUAUAAGUUUGUGUUUGGUAAGAAUCAAUACUAUCUUAAUCCAAAGCUAAAAAUCCCCUGAUUAUUUUUAUUGGAGCAUUUCAUUUGAAGGUUUUUCUCUUUGAUAAGAAUUUUUAUAUAGAUAAAAUGUUGUUUCAAUCCCUAAUGCUACUGUGGCAUGCGGGUUUAGUCAAAGAUUAUGAUUCAACUUCAUUUUUUUUAGUUUGCAUAUAUAUUCUGAUCCCAAAUGCUACUGUGAUCUGUUAAUUUCUUUAAUUUGUUUUGUUUUUAUAUCAUAUCUGCAAAUUUCUUGCAUGUUCUCCUCCUAAUUGUGUGUUUCUAUUUUGAGUAAGUGGUUUUAUGUGUUGUGUAUCAUGGUUUGUUUUAGUUUGUGACUUUUGGUCCCUUGGUUUGCAGGUAAUUUUAUUUACAAGUGAAAUCAUUUGAGUGAGUUGUGCUUUACAGGUAGUGUACAUCUUCAG